UACGUAGGGGGCAAGCGUUAUCCGGAUUUACUGGGUGUAAAGGGAGCGUAGGCGGCAGUGCAAGUCAGAAGUGAAAGCCCAAGGCUCAACCCUGGGACUGCAUUUGAAACUGCCAUACUGGAGUGCCGGAGAGGUAAGUGGAAUUCCUAGUGUAGCGGUGAAAUGCGUAGAUAUUAGGAGGAACACCAGUGGCGAAGGCGGCUUACUGGACAGUAACUGACGUUGAGGCUCGAAAGCGUGGGGAGCAAACAGG
rnacentral:rRNA from 1 species